CAGGCAUGUGCGGUGGGGGGCAGGGGACCACCUGCCUCUGGUGUGUGCGUCCUGGUGGACGAGAGGCGACCUGUGGGUGUCUCUGUGUUCAAGUGUCCCUGUGCAAAUGUGUGUGAGGGCCAUGCUGUGGUUGCCAGCCCAGGGUUCCAGCGAGGACCUAACCCCAGAGCCCCUAUGUGGCCACCACCCCAGCCUGGCCUGGGCCCGGACCCCGAGCCAGGCGCUCCCUCCGGCCUGCCCACCCGGGUGCUUUUGUCCGUUUCUGAAGUGACAAGAGACACACAAAAGGGCUUUUAAUUAAAUCAAAGGAGGGGGAAACGGGCCAGCCGGGCCGCUAUUAUGUUACCAAAUGCGAAAAUGAAAACUUAUUUUUAAAGCUCUGGUAUUAAUUUGAGAUUAUUCAGAUAGUUAAUUAAAAGUGCAGCAUGUGUUAAAUAUUAUUUCAACAAAGAUUAUCAUCGGGCCUGCCUGUAAUGCGAUCUGCGGGCUGGGGAGCUGUAUGCAAAUGCCCUGCAGCGGGAGGAAGGGCCCACAGCGAGGCAGCAGCCAGCAGUGGACGGCCCAGCUCAGCUCGGGGCUGGCUCUGUCGGACUCAGAUGGAGCCUCAGCCAGGCCCCCAGGUCCAGGCCCUGGGUGUGCAGGGAGACCGCUGGAGCCGGCCAGGGCCUGCCAGCCAGCCAGCAGCAGGACCCCAAAAAGUCCUCCAGAUGGCCCUUGGGCCUCCAGGGGAUUCGGGCUGCACUUCCGUGCCUCGAAGGCGAGCACCCCUGCAGCCUACAACGAUCAAGGUAAGAAAUGCUCAACGGGAUGGCCCAGAUCCCGCCCCUCGCACGAAGCAGCCGCGCGCGCGUCCUUCGCGGGCCCGUGUCCCCGCGGGCGCCCGCACACACGCCCCGCCCCGAGAGCGCGCGGGCCGGCGCAGUUCACGGGCCGCUCCUGCCCUCUGUCGGCGCCCGGCGGCAGCGCAGCGCGCUCCUGGGCCGGCGGUUCGGCCCCUGGCACCGCGCGCCCGCUGCCCACCGCCGGGCAUCACCGGACCAAGACGUUUCCCACAGCGGGCUGCAAGGCAGGCAAGCCGACCCCCUUGUAAAGACGGCAGGGCAGAGGCUCAGAGAUGGCCAGUGACCUGCCCAGGGGCACACAGCAGGACCACAGGGAGGGACACCAGCUGAGGUUGGGACCCAGGUGUUAAGCACACUUCUGUGAGUCCCACUGGGUUCAAACCCUGGCUCUGCCCCUCAUUGCUGUGUGCCCUGAGACAGGUGACACCUCUCUGGAUCUCAUAAUUCUCAGGGUAAACUGGGGAUGACAGUAAUCCCUCUUCUUAGGAAGAUGUCACUGUUUUCAGCGCAUUCCUGGCACAUAUCCCAGGAGAGCAGGACCUUGCUUGUCUUGGCCACUCGGGUCCUUGGUCUGGCACAGGGCCUGAUAGGAAUGUGUUGACAGAAAGAAUAAAAACGCCGAGUCGAGUGGGACUGCGGACUGGUACAGCCACGCUGGACGACGGUUUGCAGAAGCCUGUCGGCCUCUCCGGCGGCGCUGGGAGGAGCCCUCUUUCUGCCCACUGCACAGAAGAGUAGACUGAGGCUUCGCGAGACGCCCAGCCGGAUGCGCGGGGGGCAGCCAGGAACAGAAGCCGGAGGCCUGCAUGCAGCCCCACCGCCGACCCACCAGAGACGAUUCUCAGGGCCGAGAGCGCGGCCCAGGGGUCUGAGCACGUUCCGAGUGUGAGCCCAUCACCGCAAUCCAACUUCAGAACAUCUGUCCCCAGAAAGCAACGCCACAUCCAGCAGCAGUCCUCCCACCCCCCUAGGUGCCCAGUGCCCAGCCACCACGAGCCUGCUGGCUGUACCCGUGGGACGACCUCUCCGCACAUUUCGUGCGAAUGGACAUCCCCCGCAUGCGCCCUUUGGUGUCCAGCUUCUCUCACUACGAUGACGUGCUCAGGGUCGCCCAUGCCUGGCCUGUGUCAGGAUUUCCUUCCUUUUUGUGGCUAAUAAUGAUCUGUUGUACGGAUUGACCACAUUUUGUUCGUCUGUAUAUGACAUUUGGGUCAUUUCCACCUUUUGGCUAUUAUGAAUCAUGCCGUGAACAUUCAUGUUUCUUGAGAUAUGAUCCACAUACUAUACGAUUCGCUCGUUUGAAGUGUCUAAUUCAACGGUUUUCCGUGUACUCACAGAGUGUAACAUCAU
rnacentral:lncRNA from 1 species